GAGAGAGAAAAGAAGGAAAGAAAAGGGAAGAAGAAGGAAGGAAAAGGAAGAAAAAGAGGAAGAAAUGCUUAUAGUGCGACGCCAAGGUUAGAUCUUUCCAUUUCGGCGUCAAAAAAGUGAUCCUCGUAAUGAGAUCUACGAUUUGAGGUUUUAGAUGAAGAAAUCAUAAGAUUUGAAGAGCAUUUGAUGACUUCUUGAGUUAAAGAAGAGAUUUGGAGUUUUGAAGGUGUUCUUGAGAAAAGAGGUUUUGCUAGAACCUUGCAUCAUCGCACGCCGAAUCUCCCUCGUACCGAGGGUGAACAUUGUACAUAUCUAG